GACGAACGCUGGCGGCGUGCUUAACACAUGCAGUCGCACGGAAAGGCCCUGCUUUUGUGGGGUGCUCGCGUGGCGAACGGGUGAGUAACACGUGAGUAACCUGCCCUUGACUUUGGGAUAACUUCAGGAAACUGGGGCUAAUACCGGAUAGGAGCUCCUGCUGCAUGGUGGGGGUUGGAAAGUUUCGGCGGUUGGGGAUGGACUCGCGGCUUAUCAGCUUGUUGGUGGGGUAGUGGCUUACCAAGGCUUUGACGGGUAGCCGGCCUGAGAGGGUGACCGGCCACAUUGGGACUGAGAUACGGCCCAGACUCCUACGGGAGGCAGCAGUGGGGAAUAUUGCACAAUGGGCGGAAGCCUGAUGCAGCAACGCCGCGUGCGGGAUGACGGCCUUCGGGUUGUAAACCGCUUUCGCCUGUGACGAAGCGUGAGUGGCGGUAAUGGGUAAAGAAGCACCGGCUAACUACGUG
rnacentral:rRNA from 1 species